UACGAACUGUGCAAACGUUAUUCGGAAUCACUGGGCUUAAAGGGUGCGUAGGCGGCUAUUUAAGUAGGGUGUGAAAGCCCCCGGCUCAACCGGGGAAUUGCGUCCUAAACUGGGUAGCUCGAGUGAGAUAGAGGUGUGUGGAACUUCCGGGUGGAGCGGUGAAAUGUGUUGAUAUCGGAAGGAACGCCGGUGGCGAAAGCGACACACUGGGUCUCAACU
rnacentral:rRNA from 1 species